AUUUGGUGCUACGACCCAGGUAGUAUUUGUCCCUGCUUCAGGAUCCUGUUUACUCCUACCAGGUAAUGAGACCCCUUCAGAGCUCUUGUGCUUCAUUCCUGUGUGAUGAUCCAGGGACCCAAAAUGUUUUAGACACUCUUGCAAAGAAAAGAUGGACAUCCACCCAAAAUGUGGUUCAGAUUGGAGACUGAUGUUGCUACAGGAACACCAAGAAGCAGCCAGAGGAAGACUGAAGACCAUGUGGGAUGUUGGGACCUCAAAAUUGGAAGAGCUUCAGUGCCUGAAUCAUUACCUGGAAAAAGCUGCUUCCUGACUAUGAACACAAACCCUCACUUUUACAGGAGCAAAAACAUUCAUUUUGCUCAGCCACUAGAUUUUGGUUUUGUUGUUGUUGUUUCG